AGAGGAGACAGGUUGGAAGGAGAAAAGCUGAAACCAAAAAAUAUUAAUGGUGUAGAUGCUAAAACGCGCCGUGUUCCUUCUUCACCACCGCCUCCCGUCUUCAGCCUCCUCAGCUCUCCAGACCCUGAUUCACUCGAUUAAUCGAUUCCGAAAAUGAGGGAUCUGCGCCGGAUUAUCGAGCUGGUUGGACUGACGGUGUUUCUUCUCAUCGGGAGGCUAACGUGCGCCGACGCCGUUAGGGCUCCGUCGCGGCCCCUAUGUGCGUUGGAAACCCUCAAAGAGUCGGUAUUUGCCUCCCGGAGCGACGUUUGUUACAUUAAUCGGGACCGAUUUCCUCAUGCCGGCGGCGUGAUUGAGGGGGAUGAGGUUGCAUUGCAGAAGGCGCUGCAUAUGGUCCACAAACACGAAAAUGACUAUGUGUCUGUCCUCUUUUACUCGGCUUGGUGUCCUUUCUCCGGAACAUUUAGACCAAAGCUUUCCAUUUUGUCUUCCAUAUAUCCUUCAAUCCCUCACUUUGCAAUUGAAGAAUCGUCGGUCCGGCCAAGUAUCCUGUCAAAAUACGGAGUUUAUGGGUUUCCUACCUUGAUACUUCUAAACUCUACCAUGCGCAUGCGAUAUCAGGGCUCUCGCACUAUGGACUCUCUAAUUUCUUUCUAUGGUGAUGUUACGGGCUUGAAGGCGUCGUCAGCUGAUCCAAUGUAUUUGGAAAAGAUUGGAUGCCCAGGAUCUGAGGAAAUGCACAACACUCACCAGGAAACGUGCCCUUUCCCAUGGGCCCGAUCACCCGAGAAUUUGCUGCAGCAGGAAACGUAUUUAGCCUUAGCAACGAUGUUUGUCAUCAUGAGGUUGCUUUACUACACUUUCCCAACUCUACGCAGCUACGGUCAACUGGCUUGGAGGAGGUACAUCAUAAACGCGAGCUUCAGUGGCUUGUGGGAGCAUUCCGUUGUCCACAUCAGUCGACUCCUGCAGCUGUUCAAGUCUCUGAACGAGCCAGGCAAGAAAAGCAAUCUGCAGGAAGGAGCAAAGAACGCCAAGGCUUGGGCGUCCAAGUCUCUAGCAACUGUCUCGUUUGGGGAUGCUAGCUCAAGUCAUAGUAAUAAUGCUCAGUAAUCACAGCUAACUUCUAUCUAUGUACAUUUCUUGGUAGCAGCUGUUCAAGUAGACAAAGAUAUCUCAUAGCAUCAUCAGAGUUCGGGCUACACAAGGUCUUAACUCUUACUGGACCAACGCCCCAAUCAAGCCUUGUCAUCAGGAACAACGACGUGGUCAAGUGCAUUCACAGCCGUCUCCUUGCACAAGCCACAAUCCAGGUUCGGUGCUCGCUAUUUAGCUUCCAUUAUUUAUGCAUCUUCGAGUUUCGAAUUCCAUCUUUCGACGUUCCAGUUUUUGUCUGGAUGAAUAUUUCCUAUUCUCCCUUUUCACGUACAAGGGAGAAAUGGUGGCCGUGGCAGAGGUGGACGAUGGCGAGUGGUUGUGGAGGUAGCAGUGAACAUGGUGUGAGAGUGGAGAAGAUGGAAGGAUUAGGUCUUUUUAUUGAUUUCUUACUUUCUAGCAUAAACUCUAUACAAUAAGAUACCAUGAUCUUGCCAAA